UUUCAUUAUAAGGUCAGUUACAUUUUGAAUAUUUAUGAAAUCUAAACGGAAAAAAACCGCGUAUUUUUUAUGAUUCUUGUAUAAUAAACGUCUAAAAGUGAUUCAGUCGCAAGAGUGGUAACAAGACAAAAGAUAACAGGGAAAGGGCCAUUUAUAAAAUACAUACAAUUUCUUUUUAGAUUUUAAUUGAAGUGAAGAAGCUUAUAUUUUACAAAGAUGUUUAUUUUUUUUUUAUCUGUGCGCAACUUUUCUAUCAGAAAUCUUGCAGAAUUUUAGCAUCUCUUCUAAAAGUAAAUCGGUUUGGGGAGGUACUUUAGGAAUGUAAUUUUUCGAUUUUCUCAAAAGUUUUCUC